AUCAACAAUAGGAGACGAACAAACUUUGGCUUUGGGUGUGCGGCGGGCGGCGGCACCGUGGCAGUUGGCAUUGUGGUCUGUAGACUGCAGCAGCCGGUAGGACUCUGCGUCUCCUCCCGUCCUUCGGUUCUGCCUGCGGCGGACAGAUCUGCUGCUCGACUUCUCCGGUUGUCCCUGUGGCGGAUGGCACAUCGGCAAGCCAGGCAGCCAGCUCGUCAGCUCUAAAUCAGUUAGGAAAUAUUGAUUAUGAUCCGUGACGAUGUCAAACAGUGGAGGCAAGGGAUGUCGUCCCCGUGCCAAAUCCAUGCCACCCAAGAAGCAACUAGGUAUUUCUAGUUUCUUGCCUGAACCUCCAUCGCUGCCAUCUUCUUGGAAAGAUAGCACCAGUGGUGCCAAUUUCAUUUCAGGGACAAAGAGGACAUUAUGUGCAAGAGACAGUCAGGGGAUUCCAGGGUCUUCGUCUGUAGGAGCAAAGAGUGUUACUGCUGGUGAUGCUACUGCUCGUUUACCACUUGAACCAGGGAUUGAUGGUACUAGCACACAGAUUCAGUAACUAUUCAUUCUAUUUUGACUGAUCUAAAACCUUCGGAAACAAUUCAUAUCACUCCUAAUCCUCAGCCCUGCAUGGAUUUUGAGGAACAAGAUGCUGAUAGUGAUCCCGAUGUCAUGAAUGAUUAUGGUGAGCUUUAACUGCGAGUCUACCACUAGUUAUGGUGCUUAAUCCUUGGCAAUAUGUUUGUAAACUUUAGAUACAUUGUAUGGAGCAGCAGCAGCUCUGCACCAUGAACCUUGAUAUAUCUUGUGUGUUGUGUGUGAUGAACCAUGAGCUUUUGAUUCAAACUAUUGUAUGGAGCAGCAGCAGUUCUGCACCAUGAACCUUGA